GAUGAACGCUGGCGGCGUGCCUAAUACAUGCAAGUCGAGCGAACAGAUGAGGAGCUUGCUCCUCUGACGUUAGCGGCGGACGGGUGAGUAACACGUGGAUAACCUACCUAUAAAACUGGGAUAACUUCGGGAAACCGGAGCUAAUACCGGAUAAUAUAUUGAACCGCAUGGUUCAAUAGUGAAAGACGGUUUUGCUGUCACUUAUAGAUGGAUCCGCGCCGCAUUAGCUAGUUGGUAAGGUAACGGCUUACCAAGGCAACGAUGCGUAGCCGACCUGAGAGGGUGAUCGGCCACACUGGGACUGAGACACGGUCCAGACUCCUACGGGAGGCAGCAGUAGGGAAUCUUCCGCAAUGGGCGAAAGCCUGACGGAGCAACGCCGCGUGAGUGAUGAAGGUCUUCGGAUCGUAAAACUCUGUUAUUAGGGAAGAACAAAUGUGUAAGUAACUAUGCACGUCUUGACGGUACCUAAUCAGAAAGCCACGGCUAACUACGU
rnacentral:rRNA from 1 species